UACAGAGACUGCAAGCGUUAUUCGGAUUCACUGGGCGUAAAGGGUGCGCAGGCGGCCAAGUGUGUGAGGCGUGAAAGCCCGGGGCUUAACCCCGGAAUUGCACCUCAAACUACAUGGCUAGAGCAUUGGAGAGGGUAGCAGAAUUCAUGGUGUAGCAGUGAAAUGCGUAGAUAUCGGGAGGAACACCAGUGGCGAAGGCGACUACCUGGCCUGUUUCUUGACGCUGAGGCGCGAAAGCUAGGGGAGCAAACGGG
rnacentral:rRNA from 1 species